rnacentral:rRNA from 1 species
CCUACGGGAGGCAGCAGUAAGGAAUCUUCCACAAUGGACGAAAGUCUGAUGGAGCAACGCCGCGUGCAGGAUGAAGGCUUUCGGGUCGUAAACUGCUUUUAUAUGGGAAGAUUAUGACGGUACCAUAUGAAUAAGGACCGGCUAACUACGUGCCAGCAGCCGCGGUAAUACGUAGGGUCCAAGCGAUAUCCGGAAUUACUGGGCGUAAAGCGUGUGUAGGUGGAUUAAUAAGUGUGAUGCGAAAUCCGGCGGCUCAACCGUUUGGACUGUGUCGCAUACUGUUAGUCUAGAGGACGGCAGAGGUAAGUGGAAUUACGGGUGUAGCAGUGAAAUGCGUAGAUAUCCGUAGGAACACCAAUGGCGAAGGCAGCUUACUGGGCCACACCUGACACUGAGACACGAAAGCGUGGGGAGCGAACAGGAUUAGAUACCCUGGUAGUCCACGCCGUAAACGAUGCAUACUAUUAGUAUGGGGUAUCGACCCCCUGUGCUGAGAAGCUAACGCGAUAAGUAUGCCGCCUGGGGAGUACGAGCGCAAGCUUAAAACUCAAAGAGUAGUAGCGUGAGAGUCGCGACGACGACGACGACGGGAGGAGG